GAUCCUGGCUCAGAACGAACGCUGGCGGCAUGCCUAACACAUGCAAGUCGAACGAGACCUUCGGGUCUAGUGGCGCACGGGUGCGUAACGCGUGGGAAUCUGCCUUAGGUUCGGAAUAACUUCGGGAAACUGAAGCUAAUACCGGAUGAUGACGUAAGUCCAAAGAUUUAUCGCCUAAGGAUGAGCCCGCGUUGGAUUAGCUAGUUGGUGAGGUAAAGGCUCACCAAGGCGACGAUCCAUAGCUGGUCUGAGAGGAUGAUCAGCCACACUGGGACUGAGACACGGCCCAGACUCCUACGGGAGGCAGCAGUGGGGAAUAUUGGACAAUGGGCGAAAGCCUGAUCCAGCAAUGCCGCGUGAGUGAUGAAGGCCUUAGGGUUGUAAAGCUCUUUUACCCGAGAUGAUAAUGACAGUAUCGGGAGAAUAAGCUCCGGCUAACUCCGUG
rnacentral:rRNA from 1 species